GGCUCAGGAUGAACGCUGGCGGCGUGCCUAACACAUGCAAGUCGAACGAAGCUCUUUGUUGAUUUUUCGGAAUGAUACAAAAGAUGACUUAGUGGCGGACGGGUGAGUAACGCGUGGAUAACCUGCCCUUUGCAGGGGAUAACAGUUAGAAAUGACUGCUAAUACCGCAUAAGCGCACACUACCGCAUGGUAGAGUGUGAAAAGCGCAUACGGCAAAGGAUGGGUCCGCGUCUGAUUAGCUGGUUGGUGAGGUAACGGCUCACCAAGGCGACGAUCAGUAGCCGGCCUGAGAGGGCGACCGGCCACAUUGGGACUGAGACACGGCCCAGACUCCUACGGGAGGCAGCAGUGGGGAAUAUUGCACAAUGGGGGAAACCCUGAUGCAGCCGACGCCGCGUGAGCGAAGAAGUAUUUCGGUAUGUAAAGCUCUAUCAGCAGGGAAGAUAACUGACCGGUACCUGACUAACGAAGCUCCGGCUAAUACGUGCCAGCCGCCGC
rnacentral:rRNA from 1 species